UACGUAGGGUGCAAGCGUUGUCCGGAAUUAUUGGGCGUAAAGAGCUCGUAGGCGGCUUGUCGCGUCUGCUGUGAAAUCCCGAGGCUCAACCUCGGGUCUGCAGUCGAUACGAGCAAACUAGAGUGUUGCAGGGGAGACUGGAAUUCCUGGUGUAGCGGUGAAAUGCGCAGAUAUCAGGAGGAACACCGGUGGCGAAGGCGGGUCUCUGGGCAACAACUGACGCUGAGGAGCGAAAGCGUGGGGAGCGAACAGG
rnacentral:rRNA from 1 species